GAUGAACGCUAGCGGAGGCUUAACACAUGCAAGUCGAGGGGCAUCACGGGUAGCAAUACUCUGGUGGCGACCGGCGCACGGGUGAGUAACGCGUAUGUAACCUGUCCUUAACAGGAGGAUAACCCGGAGAAAUUCGGACUAAUACUGCAUAAUAUUAUUCGUAGGCAUCUAUAAAUAAUUAAAGCUACGGCGGUAAAGGAGGGGCAUGCGUAACAUUAGCUAGUUGGGAGGGUAACGGCCUACCAAGGCAAUGAUGUUAGGGGACCUGAGAGGGUGACCCCCCACACUGGUACUGAGACACGGACCAGACUCCUACGGGAGGCAGCAGUGAGGAAUAUUGGUCAAUGGGCGGCAGCCUGAACCAGCCAUCCCGCGUGAAGGAAGAAUGCGCUAUGCGUUGUAAACUUCUUUUUCAGGGGGAUAAAAUAUUGUAUGUAUACGAUACUGAAGGUACCCUGAGAAUAAGCAUCGGCUAACUCCGUG
rnacentral:rRNA from 1 species